CCCUUAGACGUUCUGGGCCGCACGCGCGCUACACUGACCAGUGCAACAAGCAUCCGUCCUUGGCCGACAGGCUCGGGCAAUCUUUGAACGCUGGUCGGGAUGGGGAUAGACUUUUGCAAUUUUUGGUCUUCAACGAGGAAUUCCUAGUAAACGCAAGUCAUCAACUUGCAUUGAUUACGUCCCUGCCCUUUGUACACACCGCCCGUCGCACCUACCGAUUGAAUGGUCCGGUGAAGCCUCCGGAUUGGCGCGCACCUCGGUGCCGCCGAGAAGUUGGCUAAACCUUACCAUUUAGAGGAAGGUGAANUCGUANCA
rnacentral:rRNA from 1 species